rnacentral:rRNA from 2 species
GCCUCCUGCAAAACCCAAAGUAUAGGAGGUCUUACCUGCCCAGUGACAAGUUAAACGGCCGCGGUAUUUUGACCGUGCAAAGGUAGCGCAAUCACUUGUCUUUUAAAUGAAGACCUGUAUGAAUGGUGGAACGAGGGCUUAACUGUCUCCCCUUUCAAGUCAAUGAAAUUGAUCUGCCCGUGCAGAAGCGGACAUACAAAUACAAGACGAGAAGACCCUUUGGAGCUUAAGACACAAGAUCAACUAUGUCAAUAUAAUAAAAACAUUAAGUUAAACUAAAUAGCAUCUGAUCCUUGUCUUCGGUUGGGGCGACCGCGGAAGAAAACAAAGCUUCCAUGAGGACAGGGGCCACAGGCCCUAAAACCAAGAAAGACAUUUCUAAGUAACAGAAUAUCUGACCACUAAGAUCCGGGCAACCAGCCCGAUCAACGGACCAAGUUACCCUAGGGAUAACAGCGCAAUCCCCUUUAAGAGUCCAUAUCGACAAGGGGGUUUACGACCUCGAUGUUGGAUCAGGACAUCCUAAUGGUGCAGCCGCUAUUAAGGGUUCGUUUGUUCAACGAUUAAAGUCCU